rnacentral:rRNA from 1 species
AGAUUGAACGCUGGCGGCAGGCCUAACACAUGCAAGUCGAGCGGCAGCACGGGUACUUGUACCUGGUGGCGAGCGGCGGACGGGUGAGUAAUGCCUAGGAUCUGCCUGGUAGUGGGGGAUAACGCUCGGAAAC